rnacentral:rRNA from 1 species
AGAGUUUGAUCCUGGCUCAGAGCGAACGCUGGCGGCGUGCUUAACACAUGCAAGUCGAACGUGAAUUGGCUUCGGCCAUAGUAAAGUGGCGUACGGGUGAGUAACACGUAGGUAAUCUACCUUACAGUUUGGAAUAACCUGCCGAAAGGCGGGCUAAUACUGGAUAGAGCGAUGGAAUUCGUAAUUGGAUUCUUCGGGAAAGGGAGCUCGAUAAGAGCCUUCGCUGUAAGAUGAGCCUGCGUCUGAUUAGCUAGUUGGUAAGGUAAUGGCUUACCAAGGCGAUGAUCAGUAGCUGGUCUGAGAGGAUGAUCAGCCACACUGGAACUGAAACACGGUCCAGACUCCUACGGGAGGCAGCAGUGGGGAAUCUUGCGCAAUGGACGAAAGUCUGACGCAGCCACGCCGCGUGAGUGAAGAAGGCCUUCGGGUUGUAAAGCUCUGUCGCUUGGGACGAAAAACUUAUUAGUGAAUAGCUAGUAAGUCUGACGGUACCAAGAGAGGAAGCACCGGCUAACUUCGUGCCAGCAGCCGCGGUAAUACGAGGGGUGCAAGCGUUGCUCGGAAUUAUUGGGCGUAAAGGGUAGGUAGGUGGUCUUAUUUGUCUGAGGUGAAAUCCCGGGGCUUAACUCCGGAAGUGCCUUAGAAACGGUAAGACUGGAGUGCUAGAGAGGUUUGUGGAAUUCCCAGUGUAGCGGUGAAAUGCGUAGAGAUUGGGAGGAACACCAGAAGCGAAGGCGGCAAACUGGCUAGAUACUGACACUGAACUAUGAAAGCGUGGGUAGCAAACAGGAUUAGAUACCCUGGUAGUCCACGCUGUAAACGAUGGGUACUAGGCUUUGUGGGAAUUGACCCCUGCGGAGCCGGAGCUAACGCGAUAAGUACCCCGCCUGGGAAGUACGGUCGCAAGACUAAAACUCAAAGGAAUUGACGGGGGCCCGCACAAGCGGUGGAUCACGUGGUUUAAUUCGAAGCAACGCGCAGAACCUUACCUAGGUUUGUCAUCCUCUGACCGCUGUAGAAAUACAGUUUUUGUAGCAAUACAACAGAGAGACAGGUGCUGCAUGGCUGUCGUCAGCUCGUGUGGUGACAUGUUGGGUUAAGUCCCGCAACGAGCGCAACCCUUGCCUUUAGUUGCCAGCAUUCAGUUGGGCACUCUAGAGGGACUGCCGUGGUUAACACGGAGGAAGGUGGGGAUGACGUCAAGUCCUCAUGGCCUUUAUAUCUAGGGCGACACACGUGAUACAAUGGAUGGUACAGAGGGAAGCGAACCCGCGAGGGGGAGCGAAUCUCAAAAAGCCAUUCUCAGUUCGGAUUGGAGUCUGCAACUCGACUCCAUGAAGUUGGAAUCGCUAGUAAUCGCGGAUCAGAACGCCGCGGUGAAUACGUUCCCGGGCCUUGUACACACCGCCCGUCACACCAUGGGAGUUGACUCAACCAGAAAACGAUCAUGCUAACCGUAAGGAGGCAUUUGUUGAAGGUGGGGUUGAUGACUGGGGUGAAGUCGUAACAAGGUA